GGGUUAAUGCCAGUGAGGGUCACUACUAUGCUCCCAUGGUUAAACAAGUAUGGUAACCGUGAGGAUGCCGUAAUUCUUCGGGACAGUUUCACUUGGGGCUUUAUGAUACCGUUUCAAAAUAGGGUGGUGGAGCAUCAUGCGCAUAAUCUAUGUUCGGUUAGUGACUUUCCUAAAGUCAUGCAUGACAAACUGCUUAAAGAAAUACAGUUGGGAUGGAUGGCGGGACCUUUUGUGGAUUUAAGAAUUUCACCCUUGGGUGUCGUGUCCAAGGAAGAAGCAGGUAUGUUCUGUUUGAUUCACCACCUUUCUUAACCUAAAGGGUCAUCAGUGAUGAUAUUGAUGGGGUGCUCUGUUCCGUGUCCUAUUCAUGAUUUGACCAAGCUGUUGAACUGGUUAAAAAGGCGGGUCCAGGUGCACUGUUGGCAACAGCUGAUGUGGAGUCGGCAUUCCGCCUGCUGCCCAUUCAUCUCGCGUGCCACUAUUUAUUAGGUUGCUUCUUUGAAGGCAAAUACUACAUUGAUUUCUGUCUGCCCAUGGGUUGCUCCAUCUCAUGUGCGUACUUUGAAAAAUUUUGCACCUUCCUAGAAUGGAUAGUCAAGAUGGAGGUGAGCACUAAGUUGGUGGUCCAUUACUUGGACAACUUCUUAUGCAUCGGUCCCUCUAAUUCCAAUGCUUGCAGGAUCAGUUUAAGAACACUGUAAUGGGUGGCUAAUGUUUGUGGGGUGCCACUGGCAGGGGACAAAACCGUGGGGGCCAUCGUGUUUGAGUUUCUUGGGGUUCGAAAUCGACAUCGUGGCAGGCAAAUGCCGCUUGUCACAAGAUAAAUUGGUUGCUCUUAGGGAACAUAUUGCAGAGGUGCAGGGAGCUAAGAAAGUGACAUUACGCAUGCUGCAGUCCUUAAUUGGGCGCUUAAAUUUCACUUGCCAGGUGAUCCCAGUGGGGAGGGUGUUCAAUAGAUUCUUGGCUAAAGCCACCGGUGGUGUACGGAUGCCAAGGCAUUUCAUCAGAGUGUCAGGAACCAUGAAGGAGGACAUAGGAAUUUGGGAACAUUUCUUGCGUGUGUUUAAUGGCCGGGUUUUCUUUUGGGAAAAAUCUGUCUCAUCGCCUGACUUGGAGCUGUUCACGGAUGCUUCAGGUAGUGUUGGUUUUGCGCGCCUUCAUUGCCAGCCAAUGGUGCGCUGAGUGAUGGCCUGCAUCUUGGGCGGCAAUCAUGCUCAUUCAGAACUUG